GUGUUUGUAACUCAGUGGCUAGAGUGUAUGGCUACGAACCAUAAGGUCGGGGGUUCAACUCCCUCCAAACACA
rnacentral:tRNA from 1 species